rnacentral:rRNA from 1 species
UACGGGGGGAGCAAGCGUUGUUCGGAUUUACUGGGCGUAAAGGGCGCGUAGGCGGUCAGCACAAGUCAGUUGUGAAAUCUCCGGGCUUAACUCGGAAAGGUCAACUGAUACUGUGCGACUAGAGUGCAGAAGGGGCAACUGGAAUUCUCGGUGUAGCGGUGAAAUGCGUAGAUAUCGAGAGGAAUACCAGUGGCGAAGGCGGCCUUCUGGACGGAUACUGACGCUGAGGCGCGAAAGCUAGGGGAGCAAACGGG